GUCUGCAACUCGACUACAUGAAGCUGGAAUCGCUAGUAAUCGCGAAUCAGCAUGUCGCGGUGAAUACGUUCCCGGGUCUUGUACACACCGCCCGUCACACCAUGGGAGUCGGGAAUGCCCGAAGCCGGUGACCCAACCUUAGGGAGGGAGCCGUCGAAGGCAGAUUCGAUAACUGGGGUGAAGUCGUAACAAGGUAAC
rnacentral:rRNA from 1 species